UACGAAGGGGGCUAGCGUUGUUCGGAAUCACUGGGCGUAAAGGGCGCGUAGGCGGCUUUGUAAGUCGGGGGUGAAAGCCUGUGGCUCAACCACAGAAUUGCCUUCGAUACUGCAUGGCUUGAGACCGGAAGAGGUAAGUGGAACUGCGAGUGUAGAGGUGAAAUUCGUAGAUAUUCGGAAGAACACCAGUGGCGAAGGCGGCUCACUGGACUGGUAUUGACGCUGAGGUGGCGAAAAGCGUGGGGGAGCA
rnacentral:rRNA from 1 species